UGGACCAUUUUGCUCAUCA
rnacentral:snRNA from 1 species